GCACGGGUGGUGAAAUUUGGUAAACACGCCAGCUUGAGGGGCUGGUGCCCGCAAGGGCUUGGAGGUUCAAGUCCUCUUCCGUGCA
rnacentral:tRNA from 1 species